rnacentral:rRNA from 1 species
GACGUAGGAGGCGAGCGUUGUCCGGAUUCAUUGGGCGUAAAGAGCGCGCAGGCGGCUUGGUAAGUCGGAUGUGAAAUCCCGAGGCUCAACCUCGGGUCUGCAUCCGAUACUGCCCGGCUAGAGGUAGGUAGGGGAGAUCGGAAUUCCAGGUGUAGCGGUGAAAUGCGUAGAUAUCUGGAGGAAUACCGGUGGCGAAGGCGGCAUCCUGGACCGACAUUGACGCUGAACGGCGAAAGCUAGGGGAGCAAACGGG